rnacentral:lncRNA from 1 species
UAGCCUAUUCUUAAUUAAAUUCUAAAAGAUAAAUACAAAUAAAUAAAGAUAAUUAAAGUUAAUUAAAGGUAAAUGAAAAUAAAUCCUAAAAUUAAAUCAAAAUAAUAAUCCUUAAUAAUUAUCCUAAUAUAAUUAAACAUUAAAUAGAGUCUCGUGCUGUAAAAUCUCUUAUUUUGCACUUUUGCCCUUUAUGUCUUUCAUACUUGCAUUUUUGGCACCACCUUUUUCCCUAUGUCGCAUGUUGGCCCAUUGUAUCUUCAAAUUUGCACUUUUUGCCCUUAAAAUUUCUUUUGCCUCCAAUUUAGUCCGUGAAAGAUAAAAGACCAUAAAUAUCUCAAAUUAGUAAGGUCAUACACAAAAUAAACAUGCAAUUAGCACAAAAAAUAUGUCGUUCUAGAGUAUUAUCAGAUGGCUACUUAUACAGAAGAGGAAAUUGUUGAAACGUUGAAAGGAAUGGGGCCUACAAAAGCUUUAGGUCCAGAUAGUUUUCCGACAGUAUUUUACCAAUAGUAUUGACAUAUUAUUGGUAAAAAUACUAGAGUUUUCUAUUUGGAUAUUUUGAAUAAUGGCAAAUCUUUAAAAGAAAUAAACAGAACUCAGUUGGUUUUAAUUCCAAAAAUUGAAAAUCCUCUCAAUUUGAAAAAUUUUCGUCCUAUUAGCCUCUGUACGGUUAUCUAUAAGAUUAUUUCCAAGUCAGUUUCUAACCGUUUACAAAAGGUACUAGAUAUCUAUAUUAAUGACUUUCAAAGUGCUUUUGUGCUGGUAGGCUUAUAACUGACAAUGUGUUGUUGGCGUAUGAGGUACUUCACUCUUUCAAGAACAAAAGAUCAGGGAAAAAAUUAUUUAUGGCUCUAAAGCUGGGUAUGAGCAAGGCUUAAGAUCAAGUGGACUAGCAUUUUCUUAAAAGUAUGAUGUCAAAAUUGGGCUUUGUCGAUCCAUUUAUUUAUUUUAUAUUUCACUGUAUUAUUCGGUCCAUUAUUCAAUUUUACUUAAUUGUGAAGAAGGUUUUAGUUUCAAUCCAUUAAGAGGGCUACGUCAAGGGGAUCCUUUAAGCCCUUACUUAUUUCUGUUCUGUGGAGAAGGGGAUCCUUUAAGCCCUUACUUAUUUCUGUUCUGUGGAGAGGGUUUAUCUGCACUGAUGAGACUUGCAAGCCAGGAAAGGAAAAUUUUAGGAGCAAAGGUAUGUAAAUCUUCCCCACCAAUAACCCACUUCAUGUUUGUAGAUGAUUGUAUACUGUUUGUAAAGGUUUCAGAUAGGGAGAUUAAUGUGAUUAGAGAUAUUCUAAGAGAAUAUGAAUUUUGCUCGGGCCAAUGUGUAAACUUUGAAAAAUCCACGAUUUUUUUUUUCAAUUUGAAUGUGGAUGAUUAGGAUAAGAACUUGGCUUUCCAAGUACUUAAUGUUCGCUGUUUGAUUGAUCUAGAGAAAUAUUUGGGGUUACCGAAUAAGGUGGGUCAAAGAAGGAAAAUGGCUUUCCAAGCCUUGAAGGACAGAUUGAAGCAGAAGAUUAAUAGCUGGAAUAUAAGAUAUAUCUCAUAAUGUGGCAAAGAGGUAUUUAUUAAAGCCGUUUUACAAGCAAUUCCUACAUACACGAUGUCUUAUUUUCUUUUGCCAAAAACUUUUUGUGUGGAGACAGAAUAUAAUAGGGCCCUUUUGGUGGAAAAAAAUCAAGGGAAGAGAGGAAUGCAUUGGUGUGACUAGAAGUCGUUAUGUGCGCUUAAGAAAGAGAGUGGUAUGGGGUUUCGUAAUUUGAAUUUUUUUAAUAUUGCAUUACUGGCCAAAAAGGGUUGGCAUUUGUUACAUAAUCCUAAUUCAUUACUAGCGCGUACUUUGAAGGCCAAGUAUUUUAAGGAUUUAGAUUUUUUAAACUCCAGGUUAGAAAAUUUACCUUCUCUUACCUGGCAGAGUUUAUGGACUGCAAAAGGGCUCCUUCUGAAAGGUUUGGGUUAGAGAAUUGGCAAUGGGAAGAAUGUCUCUAUCUGGGGGGAUGCAUGGGUUCCUAGAGGUUAUGAUUUCAGAGUUCAUAACUUGAAUACUAAUUGGAGUAUAUCAACAGUUGCAGAUUUAAUUGAUGGCAAUACAGGAGAAUAAAAAACCGAACUGAUCUAUAAUACCUUUUUGGAGAAGGAUGCAGAGAGGAUCUUAUGUAUUCCUUUGUUUAUGAAUCUACAUGAGGACCAUUUAAUCUGGCGCGGUAAGCCGACGGGGGAGUAUACGAUUUGUAGCGGGCACAAAUUUCUUUUACGUGAUAGACAGAAUCAAAUACAAUCUAACUACAGACAAUUUUACAAAAGAUUGUGGAGCUUAGAUUUACCCUCAAAAAUUAAAGUUACAAACUGGAGGUUAUCUUGUAACAGUUUGCCUACUUUCUGUAAUAUGCAUUUUAGAAGACUGCUGGGAUCCGCAACUUGUCGAAGGUGUCAGAAUGGAGCGGAAACGAGAGAGCAUUUGUUCAGGGAGGCAAAGGAGACAUGGGAGAAGUUAGUUGUUACCUGGCCUAUUACAGAGGAAAAUACAUAUUUCAAAGGAUGGUUUAAAAAUAUUUUUUAGUCAAACUCUCUGGUUAAGUGCAGGAUGAUAACAUGUGCUUUGUGGGCAAUUUGGACAUCAAGAAACAGAUUCAUUCAUAAAGGAGAAAUAAAAUCGAGUUCUCAAAUUAUAGAUUUGGCGAGUAACUACCUAAAAGAAUUGGAUGGGUUGAAUACAAACUUACCUGCGAGAUAGUUUCAUAUGGGUAGAUGGGUCGCUCCGAAUGGUUUGAGGUUAAAAAUCAAUUUUCAUGCGGCGUUCAACAAGCAAAAAAAUGAGUCAUGCUCUGGGUUAGUGGUACGAAACGAAAAAGCAGAAGUGAUUUGUACAAAAACAGUUAUGCAUGUGAAUAACCAUCUGUUUUUGUAGCAGAAGCGAUGGCGUGUUUUUAGGAGCUCAAUCUUGAGUUAUAUCGCGGGCUGAGGGAGGUUGAGAUUGAAGGUGACUCCCGUUCAGUGAUCCAGAAACUGCAAGAGGAGAAAGAAGAUAGAUUAGAAAUUGAAGUUUUUAUAAAAGAUUCAAAGCAACUGAAUUUAGGUUUUCAGUUAUGCGUUUUUAGGUUUAUUCAUAAAGAAUCUUACAAGGUUGCUCAUCUCAUAGCUAAAGAGAGACUCCAAAAGAGAGAGAUUCUAAAAGAGAGAGACAACUUAUUUGUUGAAUAUCGUUACUUCUGGUGUGGAGGAAGCGGUGGUCGCUGAUCGAAGUUGGACGGUUUCCAUGAGGGAAUGAACCGUCUGGAUUGCUGAAGGAAAGUUUUGGAAAGGGGUUUGAAGAGUUAGGGGGUGUGGUGUUUUUCAAAGAUAUUUUCUGUGGGAAGUGAUAGCUGCUGUUGAAAAUUAAUGAAGAGUAAUGAUGAAGUCUAUGCGGCUUCCUAGGUGCUUUGUUGCUUUUGAGGAAAGGGGUUUUAAUAGAUAACAGCUAGUUGACGAUGGCUCUAGAGCGUCCACUUCUGCAAGUUGGAUCAUUGUGUUUGGGUUGUUUUAAUUUUGUUUUUGUUUUCUUUCUUUUUGGUUUUUGGGCCUGUUUCUAGGUUGAUUAACUGCUAAUGUUUGC